rnacentral:tRNA from 1 species
GAGGGGAUAGAUCAAGUGGUAGAGCGCAUGCUUAUCAUACAUGAGGGCCUGGGUUCAAUCCCCAGUUCCUCCU